AUAUUUGCUUUCGUGCAAGGUUCUCCGCCGACGGCUGUCGGCACGAGAUCAAAAGGGAACUCCUGUGAAAAUCAGGGACUAUUCCCGUAGCUGUAAGCCCCGUUGCGUUCCGCACACUCUUUAGCCACUGUCCCCCGGGACGGGAAGGCGUGCGGAAGGGGCGAGUCAGAAGACCUGCCUUGCCGGGAAGGGUGGC
rnacentral:ncRNA from 2 species